ACCCACCUUGUCGUGGUGGAGGAGCUUGCGGGCCUUUAACUAGGUCUUACCAAGCGGUCCCAACCUCGGUACUGACCUUAAGUGGUUGGUAUCGGAGCUUCCUCUGGUCUUGGCUGGCUGGAGGUGGCAGGUCGGAGGCAACCUACUCGCGAUGAGCAAAUGCUCUAAGGGAAGGAAAACCCUGACAAAAAACCCCUCAACUUCCAACUCGUCAAGGGGGUCACUUAGCACGGAUGUAGUUACGUGUCAACGAGGAUCCUGUAGAUACCUGGCGCCCUCUGCAGUACACAGCCUUCCCCGUGGUACGCUGCUCUGCCACGGGGUGACCACCCCUUCAUGCCCACUCGUGGGAACUAUAUGGAAACUAAAAAGAAACCAGGACCACCAACUGGCCAAUUGGUGGACGGGAGCCAACCCGUUAAAUUGGACGGCCUGGCAGACGCCGUAAAGUCUGCGACGAAGGAUCUAAUUUCUAAUCGAUCCAAUAUAGUCCUCAACCUGCUCAAUCGUCUAUCAACAAUCAGACCAAUUUCGUAAACAAGCCGAAUUAUUCAUCUCGCGCCCGUAAAAUGGUCAAAGUGUUGUAUGGACGCGAGUACAGCCACUACGGCCUUACCAGAAAUAAUAAUGUUACACUGUUAUGCACGUACUUCGCGACUAAUAAAAGGGAUCGUAGAUUCCCUAAUAGAUUCAAACCAAAUCAAAAUGAAACCUCGAGUAAUGACUUCCAUUCAGAUAAACGUAAAUUAUGUACUAGGUACACCUAUUAAAAAUGAACAGAUUAAAAUACAACCAUAUGACAAAAGCUCAAAUAAAAUUAAUGCGGUUCUCGAAGGUCUAGGCUUUGUGUGUAAUAAUGAUAAAAUAUAUACAGAUCGUGCAUCACAAAUACACUGUUAUAAUGUUAAUAAACAAUAUAAUACCGGAUACGGCACAAAAACUCAUACGUCACCUGCAAAGUCAAAAUUUUUGUCACAUCAUGUUUGGUAUCGCAAAGCCAUCUCCAAAUGGAUUGACAAACAUGGAAAGCACAAAGCAAUAGUGUAGAUUCCGGAAAGACUUCUUGUAGUGCUUGACGUUCUGCUGUACUAUCGUCUGUCAUGAAUACUAAAGCACCUAAAGGAAUGCCACCAACCUUUGAAACGCCAAAAAUAAAGUGAUACAAGAACCACUUUGAUCACAUGAACUUGUAGAGUCCACAAAAAUAAUGUCUUGGGAAAAAGGCAUUUUGUAAGCUCUCAUCAUAAGUGGAGUAAUAAUUACUACACAUAAUGAAAACUCACAAUGAACAGAACUACAGAAUAAGAAAACUUCAAAUUUCAAUUAUCUUGUAAAUAAUGAACUAAUGAGCUAUGAUAACUGACAAGUGAUAACGUAUCUUGCGCAAUGAGGGAUGUGGGUGCCAUACCCGUCUGACCGAAUUCAGUUACGGUUCGUAAAUACGUCGACCGGCUGCCGACGGCGAGUAGUGGGCGUGACUUAAACGCCGCACGCUUGCGGAAUGCGAAAACACUUAACAGCGCAUUCUCUCGGCCGUUGUAUACGUUUCACUUUACGUGUAGCGUCCUCUUAAUAUUAGGCCCACUGCAUUCAAAUUUAUUAUCAAUGUCAUCCACCAAUUUAUUCACUUGCAAAAAAAGUAGCUGAAAUAGUUGUUACCGAGACAGUGAAAGUAGAAAUUGAAAGGAUUUUUCAAUAAAAAGGUUAUUAUUAAUAUUAGCAGCGCGGCAAUUUUCAACUAGCACACCCCACUAGUUAGGCAAUCAUGCUAUAAAUCUGAAAAUAAAAACAACAAUUAAUGUAAAUCCCACAGUUAGCUAUUAUAAAUUAAUAACUACAGUAAUUAAUAAUUACGGUUAUUAGUUUAUCCUUUUUGAUCAUAACACUUGGUUAGUUUUUCUAAUGCACUUCGGCAUUUAUUUAAAUCAUCAGAAUUCGCUUUCGCGCAUUCUAUAAAACUUUUUAUUUCGUCCUCACAUGGUGGCUUAAUGUAUUUUGAUACCACUUUUUCCUAAUAAUAAAUAAAUUAUCAUUAUAAAUAAUAUAUUAUUUAUAAAUUUUUAAAUUAUUAUACAUACAACUAAUACUUUUGUGGUCUCGGCCACGAUGAUUUCAACAAUAUCCUUAGCCAGUGGUCGUCCUGUAUCAGUUUCCAUAAUUUUUUUAAUAUGAUUGCCUAAAAUAUUAAUUAACGCCGUAAGCUGAGUAAGAAGAAAAUAGUCUACCAAUAUAACAGGCAUCGAUACUGUACAAAAUAAAUAUAUUUAUAAAUUUAUUAGAUAUAAUAUACUUAUUUACAUUUAAUCUUAUUAUAUAUUAUUAUAUUAUUAUUAUACAGUGUCGCCACAGUGGCAUUCUCACCACUUUUGGAAGUAUCACUGGUCUAAGUCAUUUUCAGAAAUUCUCCGUAGAAUAGUUUAAACCAACUUUGGGAAAUAAUAUGUUUUUGUACAAAUACAAUUUUAAAAAAUUCCCUUUUAAUUUCUACACAUUGUUAAGAUGCGUCAUAAACUCAUAACUUUUGUUUUAAUAUUUUGGAAAUGGAACAUUUUAGAAUAUCGCACCCGAAUGCUACAAUAAUUAGCUUAAUUUUAGUUAGAUAUUAUUAUUCUAUAAAGCAUUCUAUAAAACUUUUUAUUUCGUCCUCACAUGGUGGCUUAAUGUAUUUUGAUACCACUUUUUCCUAAUAAUAAAUAAAUUAUCAUUAUAAAUAAUAUAUUAUUUAUAAAUUUUUAAAUUAUUAUACAUACAACUACGAGUUUUGUGGUUUCUUCAGCCACUUUUUCUGAGAAUGUUUUCAAAAUCAAUUUCAUUGAUUCCAUUAUAGAUCAGUUAUAAAAUUCUUAAUGGCCUAAAAUAUUAAUAAAAUUGUUAUUAACACAAACAAAUAAUAAAUAAAUAAAAUAUACAAAUAAAUAUAUAUAUUUUGUCUUAUCCGUGGUAUGAGUGAUGUGGGUGCCAUACCCGUCUGACCGAAUUCAGUUACGGUUCGUAAAUACGUGGCCCGAUCUUGGCACCGAUAGAAAUAAUAGGUUUGAGUGGUUUGACUUACGUGUUUUCAGGAUUGGGUGUUUUGACAGCUGUACUGCUAACUCUUAUACCCUCUUAAGUCUUCGUGGGCUUAAAUUUUAAAAUCUCAUUCGUCUAUUAAAUAUACAUUAAAUUACAUUUUUAUGUAUAAAUAUUGCAUAUUAUAUUAUAUUUUGUACGUUUUGUUUUAAGCAAAAAUUAUUUGACCUGCCUAUAAAUUAUGAUAUAAAAAUAAAUAAAUAUAAAAUAAGAAA